rnacentral:rRNA from 1 species
UACGUAGGUGGCAAGCGUUAUUCGGAUUUACUGGGUGUAAAGGGCGUGUAGGCGGGGACGCAAGUCAGAUGUGAAAACCACGGGCUCAACCUGUGGCCUGCAUUUGAAACUGUGUUUCUUGAGUACUGGAGAGGCAGACGGAAUUCCUAGUGUAGCGGUGAAAUGCGUAGAUAUUAGGAGGAACACCAGUGGCGAAGGCGGUCUGCUGGACAGCAACUGACGCUGAGGCGCGAAAGCGUGGGGAGCAAACAGG